GUGCUCACUUUGGCAGCACAUAUACUAAAAGUGGAAUGAUACAGAGAACAUCAACACAACCCCUGCGCAAGAAUGACAUGCAAAUUCCUGAAACAUUCCAUAAUUUA